ACCGAGGGAAGUCUAAUGGCUUAGGACGCUCGUAUGGAAUACAAAAGAUCUGGGUUCGAUUCCCGGCCGAGGUA
rnacentral:tRNA from 1 species